rnacentral:lncRNA from 1 species
GCACAAUCACUUGCAGUCUCUGUUACCAAGAAGAAAACAGAGGAAAGAAAAACCCACUACUAAUGAACUUCCAGUAAUGGACUAGACAUUCUGUUUUCUGACCAGCACAAUGGCUCUGUCCAACUCUGCUGUGAUAGCUCCUUCUGGAAGGGUUUCAAGGACCCAAACUGGCAAGAGGCAGCAGUUACAAGGUGCCACGCAAUCACUGGUUAUAGGAAAGCAAGCGCAGAGGCAGGCACAGGAAGGCAGCGGGAGGGGCAGGCUGCAGAGACCUGGAUGACGUCCCAGGAGGAGGCAGGUGUGCAGGAUGACUCACACCCCUGCCAGCUCCCACGACUUCUAUGACAAGGAAGCCAGAUCGAUGUUUUCAAGACAGUCAAGGGCCGCUGUAGAAAGGCCAACGUGGGAGAAACCGACGCGCUGGCCGAGACUCAGCACCAACCCGCCCCUCACGGGUUGCGACCCCAGCAGAUGCUGAACCACUGCACAGCAAGUUCUGGGGACCGGAGCCAGGAACUCCAGGGGGGCUGCUCUUGGUUCAACAACCCAUAGAAAUCAGG